rnacentral:rRNA from 1 species
AUUGAACGCUGGCGGCAGGCUUAACACAUGCAAGUCGAGCGGAGAUGAGGUGCUUGCACCUUAUCUUAGCGGCGGACGGGUGAGUAAUGCUUAGGAAUCUGCCCAUUAGUGGGGGACAACAUUCCGAAAGGAAUGCUAAUACCGCAUACGUCCUACGGGAGAAAGCAGGGGAUCUUCGGACCUUGCGCUAAUAGAUGAGCCUAAGUCGGAUUAGCUAGUUGGUGGGGUAAAGGCCUACCAAGGCGACGAUCUGUAGCGGGUCUGGGAGGAUGAUCCGCCACACUGGGACUGAGACACGGCCCAGACUCCUACGGGAGGCAGCAGUGGGGAAUAUUGGACAAUGGGGGGAACCCUGAUCUAGCCAUGCCGCGUGCGUGAAGAAGGCCUUAUGGUUGUAAAGCACUUUAAGCGAGGAGGAGGCUACUGAGACUAAUACUCUUGGAUAGUGGACGUUACUCGCAGAAUAAGCACCGGCUAACUCUGUGCCAGCCGCCGCCGUAA